AUUGAACGCUGGCGGCAUGCCUUACACAUGCAAGUCGAACGGUAACGGGCCUUCGGGUGCCGACGAGUGGCGCACGGGUGAGUAAUACAUCGGAACGUGCCCGAUCGUGGGGGAUAACGAGGCGAAAGCUUUGCUAAUACCGCAUACGAUCUACGGAUUAAAGCAGGGGACCGCAAGGCCUUGCGCGGACGGAGCGGCCGAUGGCAGAUUAGGUAGUUGGUGGGAUAAAAGCUUACCAAGCCGACGAUCUGUAGCUGGUCUGAGAGGAUGAUCAGCCACACUGGGACUGAGACACGGCCCAGACUCCUACGGGAGGCAGCAGUGGGGAAUUUUGCACAAUGGGCGCAAGCCUGAUCCAGCAAUGCCGCGUGCAGGAUGAAGGCCUUCGGGUUGUAAACUGCUUUUGUACGGAACGAAAAGCCUUCUUUUAAUACAGGAGGGUCAUGACGGUACCGUAAGAAUAAGCACCGGCUAACUACGUG
rnacentral:rRNA from 1 species